rnacentral:rRNA from 1 species
AUUGAACGCUGGCGGCAGGCCUAACACAUGCAAGUCGAACGGCAGCACAGAAGAGCUUGCUCUUUGGGCGGCGAGUGGCGAACGGGUGAGUAAAGUAUCGGAACGUGCCCAGUCGUGGGGGAUAACGUAGCGAAAGUUACGCUAAUACCGCAUACGAUCUAUGGAUGAAAGCGGGGGAUCGCAAGACCUCGCGCGAUUGGAGCGGCCGAUAUCAGAUUAGGUAGUUGGUGGGGUAAAGGCUCACCAAGCCGACGAUCUGUAGCUGGUCUGAGAGGACGACCAGCCACACUGGGACUGAGACACGGCCCAGACUCCUACGGGAGGCAGCAGUGGGGAAUUUUGGACAAUGGGCGAAAGCCUGAUCCAGCCAUGCCGCGUGCAGGAUGAAGGCCUUCGGGUUGUAAACUGCUUUUGUACGGAACGAAAAGGUUUGGCCUAAUAAGCUGAGCUCAUGACGGUACCGUAAGAAUAAGCACCGGCUAACUACGUGCCAGCAGCCGCCGUAA